rnacentral:rRNA from 1 species
GAUGAACGCUGGCGGCGUGCUUAACACAUGCAAGUCGAACGGGAAACCUUUUAUUGAAGCUUCGGCAGAUUUAGCUGGUUUCUAGUGGCGGACGGGUGAGUAACGCGUGGGUAACCUGCCUUAUACAGGGGGAUAACAGUCAGAAAUGGCUGCUAAUACCGCAUAAGCGCACAGAGCUGCAUGGCUCAGUGUGAAAAACUCCGGUGGUAUAAGAUGGACCCGCGUUGGAUUAGCUGGUUGGUGGGGUAACGGCCCACCAAGGCGACGAUCCAUAGCCGGCCUGAGAGGGUGAACGGCAACAUUGGGACUGAGACACGGCCCAGACUCCUACGGGAGGCAGCAGUGGGGAAUAUUGCACAAUGGGGGAAACCCUGAUGCAGCGACGCCGCGUGAAGGAAGAAGUAUCUCGGUAUGUAAACUUCUAUCAGCAGGGAAGAUAAUGACGGUACCUGACGAAGAAGCCCCGGCUAACUACGUG